ACUGGGCUCUCAACUGGUGUGGAAAGCAGCCCGUUACAGUGUGGGAUUCAUAAAAGGGCCUCUAUGGUGUGUGAGAGAAUAUCUGUGUGCUUAGGCAGGAAACUUUUUGAUCUACAGAAAGCCAGAAGACAUCUAGCACACCAGAAUAGGGGUGUUCCUGUCUUACUGAGCAGUAUACACUAUGGAGAGAUUCGUCAAAACCCGUCGGGACAAAUAACAGAUGAAUUCAUAAAGCUGUCCAUCUCUGUUAUCCUUAAUGGUCACACAGACAACAUUUUACUCAACUAUUAAGGCAUUUGAACUGGUCGAACAGGACUACAGAGCAAUGCAUAUGAGAUCAUUGCAGCCGAGUAGAAAACUGGCACCCAGCCUUUUCACCCCUUCGGUUCGGGAAACGAACGUGUGCAGUCCUCAUUUCUCAAGUCAGAACAGCCUGGAAGGAUUCCGGGUCUCUCCCACUUUCUACCCUUCUGCUGCCAGUUGAUGGCAAUGAUUGGUGCAGAUUCUGCGCAGUGCUUUGUGCUUGGAAUAUGGAGAAGGAAGAAAAGGAAGACAAGCUCUCUGAACCUCCUUCUCUGAGAAAUACCGGGAGCCCUGAAGAAACAGCAAAAAAAACCCAAACCAAACAAAAAUCCUGAGCUUCUCAGUAUUCGCAAGAGAGCCGAAAAAUACUGAUAAUGGUGCCGUACGCCUGCGUGAAAACAAAAACAAACAAAAAAUGCAAACCAAGACAAUCCAAAAAGCAAACUUUGGUUUGUCUAACUCCUGAGACAUCCGGCUUCGUUAAGCAGCUUUGGAGGCAACACAAACCUAUGAACCUUCUUUGUUAUUUAUUUAUUUUUAUUAUUAUUUCAAAAAACAAUGGCCUAAGAGCAGUACAUUGCACUUGGUGAACCCGCACUUUCAUAUCAGGGGAACAUUUAAAGUGCAUAUGAGAAGAGAAGAAAAAUGACCACAGGAGAAAAAUCAUCUCAGGUAAAAUGAAAAGGCGCGAGUGUAAAGUGUAAUUAACCUCAAAUAUUAAAGAGAAAAUGAUCAUGUCUGUGUUUGCUAUAAAAAAUUGUCCUUCCUUUUAUGAAGGUACCUAUUGGAGUUUUCUUUGAUGGUUUUCUUUCAAGAGUUUACAGUAUUAUUUGCCUUUGUAAACCUUUUGUUUGGUUUUGUGAUCAAUGCCCAGUUUCCUUCUUUCUGAGGACAUACGUGUAUGUUGAUUUAUACAAUACAGGUAAAAGAUGGUUGAAUAGGAAACUAAUGAAAAGAAAAUAUGUUCUCAGUGGUUCUACCACAUAAAAGGAAAUAAAAUCUGAGAGAAAAGUAUAAACUCAUAGUUUGUUUUUCAGAGAUCUAAUAAGACAAUAAAGCCAAAGUAUAUUUUGUAGUAAUAAAAGCUACAGCCAGUGUUUCCUCUUUUAUUAAACAUGAAAUGUAUAAAUAUAUGACAAAAUACUUUUACUACAAUUGGAUGCAUGAUUGUUGAUUAUUUACUACAAUUUUAAUAAGUAGAAUGAUUUGAAAAUAAAUAACGAUGAAAAUUUGUGUAGGCCAAAUUAUCUGUAUUAAACUCUAGAAAAAUACAUUCUAUUUUUACUUAUUUCAAAACAUGCCAGAUCAUAAAGUAAUUACCAUGCAGUAUUAUUUUUCACAAUGAAGAUAUAAUUAAGAAAAGUUAAAUCAUUUUAGAUAUGAGUGAAAUGAUUAACGACUGUACAACUUAUAAUUUUGCUGCAGAUGAGCUUGGCACUCUAAAAAAGUAGACGUAACUGGUUUUAUGUAUGCUCAGUGGCUUGCUUUCUUACAGUGGAGUAGAUUACAAAAUUAAGAAUCAUUUAUUUCACUUCAACCUGUUGAACAGAGAAGAGUUAUAUGUGACUGUGUAUUUUGUUGAAAGGACAUAGAUCUUGGAAAACACAUUGAAAUGUAUUUUGCUGCAAGGGAAUGUAAGCUCUUUGAUGUGAUACAGACAGUCCAGAAUAGCAGGAAUAACACCAACCAUGUCAUUGAUUUUUUUGAUUUUGAUACCAUUUUUUCACUACUGUAAAAGUUUAAUUUCAUCCCAACUCUAGACAUUUAAAAUUUGUGAUUUUUGUGUUCUUUAUCCAGUCAACAAGAUCUUUGUUUUGCAAGAUUUUUGUUUUACAAAAGCUAUAAUGUGACUAAAUCUCAAAAAUCAUUAACUAAGUUUUAUGUGAAUAAAUACAAUCACUCUAGCAUAUAUACAAUUUAAUAAUCUCUGUCUUAGCUGUAGACUUAUCAUACUAUAUCUAUGCCGCACAACAGCAUAAUUCAUAUAUGCAUAUAUUAGAUUCUUAAUUAGAAUAGUUUAACAAUAAUGUGAAAAUAUUCACCAUUAAAAACAAAAACAAUCCUAAAAAAGAAAAAAAAAAAAAAAGGAAAGUAAAGGAAGA